UUGACAUCCAGAGAAUUUAGCAGAGAUGCUUUAGUGCCUUCGGGAACGUCUGAGACAGGUGCUGCAUGGCUGUCGUCAGCUCGUGUUGUGAAAUGUUGGGUUAAGUCCGCAACGAGCGCAACCCUUAUCCUUUGUUGCCAGCACGUAAUGGUGGGAACUCAAAGGAGACUGCCGGUGAUAAACCGGAGGAAGGUGGGGAUGACGUCAAGUCAUCAUGGCCCUUACGAGUAGGGCUACACACGUGCUACAAUGGCGUAUACAAAGAGAAGCGACCUCGCGAGAGCAAGCGGACCUCAUAAAGUGCGUCGUAGUCCGGAUUGGAGUCUGCAACUCGACUCAUGAAGUCGGAAUCGCUAGUAAUCGUAAAUCAGAAUGUUACGGUGAAUACGUUCCCGGGCCUUGUACACACCGCCCGUCACACCAUGGGAGUGGGUUGCAAAAGAAGUAGAUAGCUUAACCUUCGGGAGGGCGUUUACCACUUUGUGAUUCAUGACUGGGGUGAAGUCGUAACAAGGUAAGCGUAGUGCU
rnacentral:rRNA from 1 species